UACGGGGGGAGCAAGCGUUGUUCGGAUUUACUGGGCGUAAAGGGCGCGUAGGCGGUCGUGACAAGUCACUUGUGAAAUCUCCGGGCUUAACUCGGAACGGUCAAGUGAUACUGUCGGACUAGAGUACAGAAGGGGCAACUGGAAUUCUCGGUGUAGCGGUGAAAUGCGUAGAUAUCGAGAGGAACACCUGAGGUGAAGACGGGUUGCUGGGCCGACACUGACGCUGAUGCGCGAAAGCCAGGGGAGCAAACGGG
rnacentral:rRNA from 1 species